rnacentral:rRNA from 1 species
GACGAACGCUGGCGGCGUGCCUAAUACAUGCAAGUAGAACGCACAGUUUAUACCGUAGCUUGCUACACCAUAGACUGUGAGUUGCGAACGGGUGAGUAACGCGUAGGUAACCUGCCUGGUAGCGGGGGAUAACUAUUGGAAACGAUAGCUAAUACCGCAUAAUAUUAAUUAUUGCAUGAUAAUUAAUUGAAAGGUGCAAUUGCACCACUACCAGAUGGACCUGCGUUGUAUUAGCUAGUAGGUGAGGUAACGGCUCACCUAGGCGACGAUACAUAGCCGACCUGGGAGGGUGAUCGGCCACACUGGGACGGGGACACGGCCCAGACUCCUACGGGAGGCAGCAGUAGGGAAUCUUCGGCAAUGGACGAAAGUCUGACCGAGCAACGCCGCGUGAGUGAAGAAGGUUUUCGGAUCGUAAAGCUCUGUUGUAAGAGAAGAACGGGUGUGAGAGUGGAAAGUUCACACUGUGACGGUAUCUUACCAGAAAGGGACGGCUAACUACGUG